rnacentral:rRNA from 1 species
AUGCACGCUAGCGAUAGGCUUCACACAUGCAAGUCGAGGGGCAGCAUGGUCUUAGCUUGCUAAGACUGAUGGCGACCGGCGCACGGGUGCGUAACGCGUAUGCAACUUGCCUCACAGAGGGGGAUAACCCGUCGAAAGACGGACUAAUACCGCGUACACUCCAUCUUGGGCAUCCAAGGUAGAGGAAAUGAAAUUCGCUGUGAGAUAGGCAUGCGUCCCAUUAGCUAGUUGGUGAGGUAACGGCUCACCAAGGCGACGAUGGGUAGGGGAACUGAGAGGUUGAACCCCCACACUGGUACUGAGACACGGACCAGACUCCUACGGGAGGCAGCAGUGAGGAAUAUUGGUCAAUGGGCGAGAGCCUGAACCAGCCAAGUCGCGUGAAGGAUGACUGUCUUAUGGAUUGUAAACUUCUUUUAGACGGGAAUAACAAGAGUCACGUGUGACUCCCUGCAUGUACCGUAUGAAUAAGCAUCGGCUAACUCCGUG